AGGAAAAUAAAAACCAAACGUGCUCAAGUGGCAUCUUCAUUAAAACUAACUACCCAAAAGGAACCCAACCUCACCAAGCCAUGCUCCUAAGAUACCUGUACCAAUCAAAAGGCAUCCAACAAAGAAACAAGCGUUAGCAACUGCCACGUGAGCCGACAACUUGUACACAACCAAAAAGAGAACACACAAUUCCCGUAAGGGUCAUCCAUGCAAAUCGUGAUAAUAACAUAGUCAAGAAAAACAAAUAACAUGAUAUUAUAAUUUAUUUCAAUCAUAUAGUUUUCAACUUAACUCAACCGAUUAUUACAUAUAAUUUAAUUCACCGUUUAUUAUAUGUAAUUUCUAAUUCAACCGAUUAACUACUUUGGGGUUCCUUAGGGAGGGUCUACCCAACAACUUAACCCCGUUCACUACUCGUGUGCUCAGCCAGUUUAGUGCUCUAAGUGGCUCAUGACUUCCACCCGAAUACACCAACCCCAAGACUUCCACUUUCGCUACUCCGACUUGCAAAGUACAAGUACUUUACGGUGUCGUUCAGGAUCGGUACAAACGGUGCCAAUUCCAACGAUACACCUCCCGAUUCCCACGUGAUGUUUGAUCCGGCCACACCAUAAAGCCAACACCACUCCAGUUCCCGUACACCGAGGUGCACAUGAACCACGUGUCACACGACCAUCUAGAAAAGUUCGUGUAACUAAUCACCGUUAUGGCUUAAGCUCUUUCAACCCAUUAGACUUGCAAGGUUCUACCCAUGUCACCGUUAUACCCCGCAAAAGCAUGCAUACACCAUAAUAAUCAUGUUACUCUUACAACUUAAACGAGUAAUUAUCAUGUAAUGAAGUUCAUUAAGGUAUCACCAUACAUUAGCAUAUAACUACCAAUUCAUGUAACAUCAUAUCCGCAUGCAACUUACAACGUUCACAUAGCAUGAAUAUCACCAUAGCAACUGAUACCAAGGAAUAACCACACACAAGAUGCAAACAACAUAUUUUCAAUAAUUAUCACAAGCAUUUAUAAAAAUCUAGCAUGAAUCCUAAUUUGCAUCAACAAUCUACAUACGAGAUGUUGUUUCCGGUUAUGCACUAAAGUCAACAAAAAUUGUCGACUCACCUUAUGUUUGAAGCGAGUUCUCCUUUCUAAUUCAAGCCUUGACCCUUCUUGAAGUUGUCAAGUUUUCACCUAAUAAUCACACAUACCAAGCAAUCAUCAAAAUGGGGUCCAAGUUUCAUUAACACCUUUAAUUUCUUAUUGGGUUACAUAUUUUUUUAAGUUUCACAGCUUGACCAUUGUUCAGGGUUUUGGUCAUAAAACAGAAUCUGUAACUCCGAUUGAGCUGAAUCCGGACUUUCUGAAAACUAGACUCGAUUUCCUACAUAUUAUCCAGAGAGGGGAAUCGGUCAAUUCUGCUCAGAUUAGAAGCUACAGCCCUCGCAAGAUGGGGCAAAGUUGCUGUGCAGAUUUCCAAUAAUUGCCAAAAAUCAACGUAUGAUUCAAGACCUUGGACAAAGGAUUAAAGCCACAUGAUUUAACACACCAAAAGCUUGAAUGAAGGUAUUAAGACAUAAAUUAAGUGGUUUAUGAAAAGACCAAGAAUUGACUAAAGGAUUAUUGAAAGUAAGAUGCCCUAAUGCACUAACACCAAAAAUCUACAUUCACCAAUAAAGACUUCAUUUAGUUCAAAUCAAGAUACAUGUAGGGAUGAACUUUUAGUGAACUUUAGACACUCAUUAUGUGGUUUUCAAGUUUGUUGUUUCAGCCUCCAAGUCAUGGUUUUGAAGACCAAAAAUACAAACAAUACUACCAAGAAUUUUGAGGACUUCCAAGCUAGUCUUUUGAUAAAAUCUUUGCUAGUCCAAACAACAACACAAAUUCCCACAUAUCAAAACUUCUAGGGGCUGUUUUGAGGGUUAUAAAUGGUACUCAAAAUAUGAAUUCAAUGCAGGAAAUUAUUCACUAAAUUUGAAGACAAGAAAAAAAAAACAAGAUUUUCCCCAAAGCAAAUCAAUUUGUCUCCAAGAUUGGAAUCAAUUCAGGAAUACCGAUUCCACUAUAUGAGGGAACAUUUGAAAAUCGAUCAUACAGUGGACUAUGAUUGAGAUCAUGUACAAGAAGUCAAUUGAGGAGCAAUUCAACCUAAAAGUCGAAAUUAAUUGCAACCCAAUUAAGGAAUUAACAUAACACAAGGGAGAUUCAAGAGAUUACCAAGGUGUGUGAUCGAUCCAACGAGUUUGAAACAAAAAUCGGAGCCCACAGCCCCUACUAAGCCGAUCGCAACCUCCCCCUCAAUGCCAAUCGUGUGUGUUUUUUUGCUUCUUCUCCUUGAUCGACGCCUGCUGGAACGAUGGCCAAAGUAUCGGGAUUUUUUUUGUUCGUUUACUGCCGACGCCAAGCGGGAACCGAAGGUGUGGGAUCACUUCUUAAUUCGCACGAGAGGGAAACGGAUGAGCGGUCAGAAUCGGUUCGACCCCUCUAUGAC
rnacentral:lncRNA from 1 species